CCCUCGCCUCCUCCUCUCUUCUCAUAACCUCAUCCCCGCCCCCUCGAGCUCGCGGCCGCGGAAGCCAAACCCUAGCCUCGACCCGCCCCGCCCCGCCCCGCCCUUCCAGACACCGCGUGUUCCGGUUGCAGCAGGGGAGGAUGAGCAGGCGCUGGAGCCGGACGAUCUAUGUCGGGAACCUCCCUGGCGACAUCCGGGAGAGGGAGGUGGAGGAUCUGUUCUACAAGUAUGGGAGAAUUGUUGACAUUGACUUGAAGGUCCCCCCAAGGCCGCCUGGUUAUGCUUUUGUUGAGUUUGAAGAUCCUCGUGAUGCUGAAGAUGCAAUUGCUGGGCGGGAUGGUUACAACUAUGAUGGAAACCGUCUAAGAGUUGAAGCUGCACAUGGUGGGAGGAGUAAUGCUUCCUCGCAUGAUCGUUCAAGUGGCUUUGGUGGUGGAGCACGCCGUGGUGUGUCGAGGCACUCUGAGUAUCGUGUUCUUGUUACUGGACUGCCUUCUUCUGCAUCAUGGCAAGAUUUAAAGGACCAUAUGAGGAAGGCUGGUGAUGUUUGUUUCUCUGAAGUGUACCGUGAAGGCGGUGGCACCGUAGGGAUUGUGGACUACACAAACUAUGAUGAUAUGAAAUAUGCUAUUAAGAAACUGGAUGAUACUGAAUUCAAGAAUGCCUUUGGGCGAGCUUUUAUAAGGGUGAAGGAAUAUGAUGGCAAACGUGGCCGCUCCUAUUCACGUAGCCGAAGCCCAAGUCGUAGCUACAGCAGAAGCAGGAGCCCAUCCAAAUCUCCCAGGGCCCGCCGUUCAGCAUCUAGAUCCCGUUCGAGGUCUGCUUCUUCCCGUUCAAGGUCAGCAUCAAAAGGACGUUCUCCGUCAAGGUGUUCAGAUUCUCUUAUGAACGACAUGAACUGCUUAGUCUUUUGUGUGUUUUGUUUUUGAAGACUCGAUUAUCUCAUCAUUUUAUCUGGGAUUGUGCGGUGAUCUGGGGAUUGCGCAUUAGGAUAUUGAGGAUGGGAUUUUCUCAAUUUGCUACAGUUCAGUUGGUUGUAUGAGGUAUGCUCGUUAAUUGAGAGCUUCUAUGGAAAGCUAAAAUCAUCCAGUUUUUUUACCUAAUGUACUGUAACUGAUUACCAUCAGAGCUUGGGCAUAGCGCAUUGUUUGGAAUACCGGACAUAAGAGCGUUAAGGAUUGAUGAUCUGGAUUAUGGUGGUACAAUUGCUAGGAAUGUGCUUGGAGUUCAAUGCUCGGGGAAUGAGUUUUCUUCCUGCCUCGUGCAUACUUGAGAUGGUUGCUGUAGUUCACACGCAAUUCGCAUUUAACACUACAACUUUACAUUAUUGCAUGCUUUGGACUUACGGAACUGGAUGAUUCUACCUUCAAUGAGCUUUUAUCGCUGGGCAAGGCGUCAAGGCUUUUGGAAUCAAGUUGUUAAACUUGCAUUUUGGAUAUUGAAUUCAGUUGUUUCUGGAACCUUUUUGCAGAUCACCAGCAAGAUCAAAAUCUCCUAAUGCUUCUCCAGCAAAUGGUGAAGUAGGAAGUCCCAAGAAACAGAGCCCAAGCAGGAGCCCAUCUGGCUCACGCUCUCCCGAUGCCAAACCCGAAUAGAAAUGCUGUGCCGAUGAGGAAUUGCAGAUGGAGUCCUGAGCUUCCCGUGUCUGGAUACUUGAUAUCCUCUAUGUUGUUUGAGUACCAUCAGUUUUCUUAGCAACUGUGCAAUGAGAUAUCAUGAUAUUAACUAUCAGCUUGUAUCGAUGGAAACUCCAGACUUAGGCCCUGCUAUUGUUGUCAGGCCUGUGUAAGGGCUUAUUUACUUCGACUAUUAUUGAAUGCUAUGUGGGUUAUAUUGACUAAAACUCAUGUUGAAUUGUUCUGGACCUCAUGCCA